UACGUAGGUGGCAAGCGUUGUCCGGAUUUAUUGAGUUUAAAGGGUGCGUAGGCGGUCUGAUAAGUCAGUUGUGAAAUACGGCAGCUUAACUGUCGAGGUGCAAUUGAUACUGUUGGACUUGAGUACUGAUGAGGUAGGCGGAAUGGACGGUGUAGCGGUGAAAUGCUUAGAGAUCGUCCAGAACACCGAUAGCGAAGGCAGCUUACUAAGGAGUAACUGACGCUGAGGCACGAAAGUGUGGGGAUCAAACAGG
rnacentral:rRNA from 1 species